AAGCAAACGUCGCCGCGUACGCACGGCGGCCACGAUGUACUAGGGAGGUUCCAGGCAGACGUGGAACCGCUGUCUGCCGCGCACUAUUCCUUUGCCAUGUUGUUCUCUCUAGAAAAAAAGGACUACGAAACAAAAAAGCAAGCAGGAUACUUUAGAAUGAAUGCGGACUCUGGCGGCGAGACCAAUGGCGAGGCGGGCCCGGCCGCCGCAGCGGUGGCGUCUUUUCCGCAGCUGACGCUUGAGGAGGAGGCUGAACUGCUGGCCAAGUACGGCGCCGAGGGACCCUACGACGACUACCUUGAGUGGGCAGCACCGAGUCAGUUUAAAUCGCAGAUGGGCGACGGCCAUGUCUUUCUUACGGGUGCGGCGUCCGACGACGACGACGACGUAGGCGAUCACGCUGCUGCCGCAGACUCCUGCCGCCAUGGCAACGCAAUUGCACCAAGGCGUGGCCGCGAACAUGCACACAGGGACCCGCUGCGAUUGUAUCUCCACGAGAAGUUUCCUUCCCUCAUGUUUCUGGACAAAACUACACCAGCGUCGCUGAUGGAGACCGUUACGGACACCCUAGACGCUCUCGAGAACCUGAGCAACGCCGAUGGGCGCCAAAGAGAACGAGCAGAGGGCCACGCGUCAACGCUGCCACUUACCGGAUUCACGCGGUCUCCCGCUGUGGAGCGGCAUGCUGCCGUCUUGCGAAGCGGAAAAGAGUGGGCACGCCGUGCGAGUAUAGCUGUUCAGGGCGCGUCUAUCACUUCGAUGGCAUCGCACUUGUUUGUGCCGGACACGCAUGACGCACCUUUGGCGCGCCGUGGUGAUUGUUCCCCCAUGAAAGCAGCGGGCGCGCCUGCAUGCACCGAGGAUAUCGAGUUUCACCGCCUCGUUGAAUCAACGGAGCAGCUGCUCGCCAAAGCAACGGAGGCACUGAAGGCAUGCUCCGCGGAGGCGUGCGACAAGGAAGCAGACGACAUAGCGCACGCCGUGCGCAAGCAGCAAGAGCGCGAGGCGCUGCUUACCGAGGAUGCGCUAGAUGUGUAUUUCGACAGGAUGGAGGUGCUGAACGGGGACGAAGACGACGAGGAGGCAGUGCAGCUGCUUCGUCGUGCUCGCGAGGGACGUGCACGGCUCCGUGCCGCCCUAGCGCUGCGUACAGUGGACACACCUGCAAGCGACAUUUGUGCGGGGUAUGAUGAAGUGGAGAUGGCACCGUGCGCCGAAGAUGUCGACGCGGACGCGCCGUCACUGUUUUCCCUAACGCCGGGCCUUCCGUAUCUUUGCGCAUUCGAGAUGGAGCUCCCGCUUUCGCAGCCGGUAGCGGCUCAGCCGCUGCCUGGCAGCAACGGCGCUGUGGUGCGGGCACCAGAGGCGCAUCCCGGGAUCCGCAGUGGAGCGCAGGCGGUGCCAGAGGCGGUGGGCCCGCCGACCGACUUUACAACUGAGGAAGAGAAGUCCGUGUCGCUUCCGCAGCUGCUCACGAGAAGCACGGAGGUACUUGCAUUGAUCGCAGACGCGGAGCUCCGCGAUGCUCAGAUGCAGCUGGACGCCGCGGCGUCAAGAGAGGCACACGUGCGAGCGUGUCGGCCCGGUAGUCCUGCGCGAAGAGGAAUGGCGCAGACAACGCUGCAGAGAGACGACCGAAGCGCACUCGGCCUUGCAACGCUUCCGUCGUUUGUGCAGCAGCUCGACAUACUCCUCUCUCCCACACGAGAGGAGCAACAUUACCGUGGGGCAGCUCCAACGCGGUCGCUUCAGCCGGAUACCCAGGUAGGCCUCGACGAUGGCGCCAACGCCGCUCUGGAGCAGCAAGGCGGAGGUAGCAAUGGUGCAGCCGAGUCCGUGUCGCUUGUGAACACUUCGCUAGAACGAAUUCGCCGGCAGGCGGCACUAGAGUCUUUUCUUGUAGACCGCGAGGCCACUGAGGGUCACCGCAUGCGCAUCGAAGAUGAGCUGGUGGAGCGCGAGAUUCGCGCCUGUGCAGAUCGUCUCACUUGGUACGCAGAGCAGCGUACUACGUUGGCACAGUCUGCUGUGCAGGCGGCGGGGCGCCUUUGCGAGACAGAGAGAGCCGCAUACGCCGAGCUCCUCGCCGCCGCCAACAAGGACAGAGCGCUGGCGCAGCAGUCACAGGAACUGCGACGCCUCCAAGAAACGGAGAAGCUGGUGUACACACUCAUCUUAGAGUGGGAGGUGCAACGGGAGAAGCUGUUGCAGGAGGAGGCACUAUCGCUUCGGUCGUUGCGUCGCGACGCAGAAGAGGAAGAGCAGCGUGCUCGAAUCGCCACCCGGAAACGCGUGGAUGGCGAGAUAGCCGCUGCAAAGAAAGCCAUGGUGCAGCUUCGCGCCGUCUUUGAGCAGCAGCGUGUACGGCCAGGUCCACGGACACUGCAAGGCGAAAAUGACGCGCCUGCAGCUGACACCGCGAUGUCUCUGGGGGAGAACCCACUGCGCGAGAGCCAAUGGUAUGCUUGGCGGAUCGCGCCGUUGCUCAGAGAACGAGCCGCAUUGCUGCGCUGGGCCUCGACGCAGCAAAAGGUACUCGAGAGCGUCCGCAGUCUUCUUGUAGAGGCUGAGGGCCAUUACCGCGCUCAUGCCAAGGGUGCUGCUGAGAGUCUCAACAGCACCGAAACUCCAGCCUCUGUGGUGGUGCUCCCGGAGAAUCCCCCUGUAGUGGAGGAGCACGGUAUGUCCGUCGGGCACGCCGCCGCGGAUGCUCGAGUGCUGGACGCCGACGCAUUUGUGAGGCUGCUCUGGCCGUCGCUCCACGCUGUGGUACGCAACCCACGGCGGGCACCCCAGCACCUGGCGAAGCUCGUGCUCUCCCUCGAAGACCUGCAGCAGGUAGACUGGGGCCAGCUGCGUCAGCUCAGCCUCAGCGCUGCCCAAGGUGCAAGGGCACAGCGCGAACCCGAAGCCACGGUUUCGGUCGCGCGUGUGGUGAAGGAGUUGGAUUUAAGCGGCAAUCCUCUGCGGCAAUUCGAUGUCGUGGAGGCUAUCCGCACCUUUUCCUCAUUGCAGUCGCUCAGCGUUUCUCAUGCACAACUGCAUACCCUGGCCGCAUCAGGCGCGACAGCCACGACAGGCAAAGUGCACGCGGCGGGAUCGCCCGACCAGCGCCUCCUCUCUGCCGCCAGCGCUGCCUCUUCUCGCUCCUCGCACCUGCGCCACGUAGCGGCGGCCCGCAACCACGCGCUGGCGGCGCAGGUUCACCUGCUGUCUCUUAGCGUCUCCUCCAAUAAUCUUGCUUCGCUCACGCCGCUGGGUACGCUCGCCUCUUCCUCCUUGGUUCGCUGCACGGCCACAGAGAACAAGUUGACUACCCUUGACUCCCUUAGUGGCUGCGUGCAGCUGCGCGAGCUGUCAGCAGCUCAUAACCGACUGACUGAUGUGCGAGCUGCCAGCACGAUGCCGCUGCUGCGCGAGCUGGAUGUGGGGAACAACGAACUCGCAACUUUGACUGCAAGAGCAGAUGGAGGUGGAGAUGAAGGUACAUCGAGCUCGCCCAUGCUGCUCAGCAAGCUGUGCGCCUCGCACAAUCCACUGCGUGCGCUUCCAACGAGUCAGUACGUCUACCCCUGCUUAACGCAGCUGUUUGUGAAUCACACCAAGCUCCCCUCCCUUGGCGCUGCCACCCUCGGGUGGUUUCCGAUGCUGACGGUGCUGCAGGCCGAGGGUAAUGAGAUCAGCGACAUUAGCGGACUGCAGCACUGCCCGAGGCUGAGGUCGCUGAGGCUAUCGCACAAUCGGCUUGCCUCUCUAAGCGGACUAGAGCCGCUGAGAUGCUGCACGCGGCUGCAGGUGCUUGAUCUAACGGGGAAUCCGUGUCUGGUCGAGGACUCCAAUGAUGCCCAAAUUGCCGCGGCGGUGACUCGUGCACUAUACGAACUCUCGCCGUCUUUGGAGGUACUGAACAACCGCCCUCGGGAACGCGCUCGUGAGCUGCGACGAAUGCCGGAGUCCCACUCGCCAUCUACGCAUGCACCGACAACAGGGACAGAGGUAGGCGACAAUCGGGACGGCGGAUGGCACGCCGACGCUGCUCUUGCUGCGUGCGUCACGUCGUCGUCGCGAUACCUCCCUGCUACUCCCCAGCUAUACCGAGAGGUCUUUGCCGCCCUGUGCUGGGAUGCACAGCUGCAGCACGUGCUGGAGGAGAAGGAGCUGCGCGAGGCGUACGCACAGCGUCCGUUGAACCGCGCUAAGGGCUGGGAGCUAACCGCCUCUGACGCUGCUGCUGCUGUUGCUGUUGCUUGUGCGGAACGCGACGGCGAUCAGCCACCGAGUAAUCACGGUGCUGCAGCAGUUGCGGAUCUGAACGCGGUAACGGCGGCACAAAUUCACGUUCGCGCAGCGGAGCACCAGCGUCACGUGGAACACUACCGGGUCGACGCCGCGACGGUGUCUGAGUGGAUCAGCCUGUCUCCUCGUCCCCCUUCAGCGGCGCUUGCUGUGCCUGCGGAGGGUGACCCGCUAGCAAACGCGCACGUGCGUAACUUUUCCUACAAGCAGCAGCAGCAAGACCACAUCGCCCUUCUCGCUCGCGCAUAUCUUACGGAGUGGCUGCACGGCCGCGUACUCGUUCGACGGGCUCGCCUCGAGCUGGCCCGUCUGCGGCUCGCGUACCGGCAGUCCCGGGCGCGCCAGGAGGAGCUUGCCGUCCAGCGCAUCCAGCCAGUCUGGCGUGGCGCGGCGUUGCGCUCACGGCUGCAGCGUUUUUUGCACCCAGAGCUGGCCGGCAAAGGCGAGAAGAUCGACGUCGAUGACUUUCCCAAGGUCAACGUGGACGACUGGCUCGUCGAUAACGCCGCUGCUCUGGCGCCGGUGGAGGUGCUCUUCCAUGACGUGGUGGAAUCGGCGCGUGGUCUGGCCCCCGUGCCGUUCGACAUUUCGGAGAUGACGACCUCGCCCGCUGUGGCUGCAAACAGUGGUGCAUCGCCACCGCCAGUCUCCACCAGCUUCACCCGUGCACUCCCAAAUGACGCUCCGCCGCAGAACGGGGUGGCCAGCGGCCACGCCGCACCGCAGCGCAUCGUUGACGAGCCGCCGGGUGGCGAGGUCGCGGUGGUUGGUAAGCUGAGGAGUAGCGGUUCAACUCUGGCUGAGCAGUGGGGUCCCCUUGUAGCGGCGCAGAUCCGAAAGAGGCGGCAAAAGUUUGCUCGCUCGCACCAGCAGCACGUGCGCGAGGAAUUCCUUCAGGACCCGCUGCGUGUAAAGCGGGAGGCGCGAGAGGAUCGUGCGCAGCAGCGGCCCAAGUAGUAGGAUGCCCCUGAUCCGCAGGUGUACCCUCUUCACUGUCCGCCGCAGCAGUCCCGGCGGAGAUGAAAACAGUUGCGCUCCCCACCGCUGCCCUGCGUUUUGCCCCUCUUGGCCAAGCGGGAUUGGCUGUGACUCUGCCCUUCUCCGCGACUACGUGCGCACGCUGUGGGGUGGGGGGAGGGGAAGGGGGAGGCACACGUCUUCCACGGGGUCGUUGGCAAAUUUGUGCACUACGUAUGCAUUAGAAAAAGCACACCAACAUGGAGGAUAACGGAAGCGGAAGUGGAGUGGAACGCCUGGCUGCACUACUGCAUCUGUGUUGAAAACGUUGGACUCGCUGUGUUGGCAAAGGAGAGCGUGCCGACUCCGGGAGGAAUAGCUUGUUGACUCAUCUCGUGGAGGCUGCCUAGAGAAGAAACAGCGAGGCAUGGACGUUGCGAGCACGCCACGACUCCUCCGAAGGAGAUGGCAGCCGUUUUGCCACUGCCUGUUCUCCCUCGAAGUGUGGCAUUCCUUGUUCGCCAAUCAGGGGCGCGCACAUGGGCGGCGCCGACCUUCACGAAGGAUGCAGGCUGUGGAUGCUUUGGCUCCGGAAGAGGCACUUCUCAUCCUCCGCCCCCCCUUGACAUCCCCGUCUUUGCCUCUUUUUCCUUUCUAUCAG
rnacentral:misc_RNA from 1 species